CUUGCUGCUUCGCUGACGAGUGGCGGACGGGUGAGUAAUGUCUGGGAAACUGCCUGAUGGAGAGGGAUAACUACUGGAAACGGUAGCUAAUACCGCAUAACGUCGCAAGACCAAAGAGGGGACCUUCGGGCCUCUUGCCAUCAGAUGUGCCCAGAUGGGAUUAGCUAGUAGGUGGGGUAACGGCUCACCUAGGCGACGAUCUGUAGCGGGUCUGAGAGGAUGAUCCGCCACACUGGGACUGAGACACGGCCCAGACUCC
rnacentral:rRNA from 1 species